AUGACUGCAAUUUUAGAUAGACGCGGAAGUACAAGCCUGUGGGGUCGCUUCUGCAACUAGAUAACUAGCAUUGAAAAUUGUCUUUACAUCGGAUGGUUCGGUGUUUUGUUGAUCCAUACCUUAUUGACCGCAACUUCUGUAUUUAUUAUCGCCUUCAUCGCUCCUCCUAUAGAUAUUGAUGGUAUUCAUGAGCCUAUUUCUGGUUCUUUACUUUAUGGAAACAAUAUUAUGUCUGGUGCUAUUAUCCCUACUUCUGCGGCGAUCGGAUUGCACUUUUACCCAAUUUGGGAAGCUGCAUCUGUUGAUGAGUGGUUAUACAAUAGUGGUUCUUAUGAGCUAAUUGUUCUACGCUUCUUACUUGGUGUAGCUUGUUAUAUGGGUCGUGUGUGCGAACUAAGUUUCCAUCUGGGUAUGCGUCCUUGGAUUGCUGUUGCAUAUUCAGCUCCUGUUGCCACUACUGUUUUCUUGAUUUAGCCUAUUGGUCAAGGAAGCUUUUCUGAUGGUAUAACUUUAGGAAUCUCUAGUACUUUCAACUUUAUGAUUGUAUUCCUGGCAGAUCACAACAUCCUUAUGCAUCCAUUCCACAUGUUAGGUGUAGCUGGUGUAUUCAGCGGUUCCCUAUUUAGUGCUAUGUAUGGUUCCUUGGUGACCUCUAGUUUGACCAGUGAAACUAUUGAAUUUUUCUCGCAUUUUCGUUUUUUCACUCAAACUCAAGGGAGAAACUUUGCUUCUUAUUAUCUUUUAAAGAUUGACGAAUCAAAUGAUAUUUUGGUUCUAAUUUCUGCCGCUUCUUCUCCCUCUGAAUCAAACUUUUUUUGCCGUAAUGUGUCAUUGAUAUUAUUACCAAGUAUAUUGUUCUAA
rnacentral:rRNA from 1 species